UGGGGAAUAUUGCACAAUGGGCGCAACCCUGAUCCAGCGAUGCCGCGUGUGUGAAGAAGGCCUGCGGGUUGUAAAGCACUUUCAGUGGGGAGGAGGAUAAUAAGGUUAAGAGCUAUAUUAUUGGACGUUACCCACAGAAGAAGCACCGGCAAACUCCGUGCCAGCAGCCGCGGUAAUACGGAGGGUGCGAGCGUUAAUCGGAAUGACUGGGCGUAAAGGGUGCGUAGGCGGUUUGAUAAGUUAUGUGUGAAAGUUCUGGGCUUAACCUGGAGAUUGCAGAUAAGACUGUUGAACUGGAGUAUGGGAGAGGGUAGUGGAAUUUCCGGUGUAGCGGUGAAAUGCGUAGAGAUCGGAAGGAACACCAGUGGCGAAGGCGACUACCUGGCCUGAUACUGACGCUGAGGCACGAAAGCAUGGGGAGCAAACAGG
rnacentral:rRNA from 1 species